GGAAGUGAGGGCUAUCUGGCUGCAACAUCUGUCCCCCACUAAUCACCAGGUUGAUUCACUGAUCUGGCUGGCUACCCGGGUGUCCCCUUCCUCCCUCACCCUCCAUGCGCAUCCUUCCCAAAGGGUGGACGAGGAGGACAUCCCCUAUAGAGUACUACCAUUCUUCUUCGGUCCAAGGGUAUGUGAGCAACUGUGCUUCCUGCUCCUCCAAACACGCUCUCAAAACCACUAACAGAGUAAAUCAUUUACCCUGAAGAUUUAAAAGGAAAAUAGAAAACAGUAGAAAACAAAUUACAAAAUGAUAUAGAAAGACCUUAGCUAU
rnacentral:snRNA from 1 species